rnacentral:tRNA from 1 species
GCGGGAGUAGCUCAGGGGCUAGAGCGCUUGCUUGGUAAGCAAGAGGCCGCGGGUUCGAUUCCCGCCUUCCGCU